rnacentral:lncRNA from 1 species
AACAAGCUAAGCAUAUAACAUUUAUGAGCUAACCAAGGUUAUUAUGCCAUUUGUGACCUAACUAAGCUAAUUAUGUCAUAAAUGAAUUAAAUAAGGUAAUUAUGUCAUUUUGGAGGAUAAUUAGCUAAGAAUAAGAAUAAGAAUAAGAAUAAGAAGAAGAAGCACAUGAUGAAGAAGAAGAUGAAGAAGAGGAAGAAGAAGAAGAAGAAGAAGAAGAUGAUGAAGAAGAAGAAGAAGAAGAAGAAGAAGAUGAUGGUGAUGAUGAUGAAGAAGAUGUAGAAGAAGUAGUGGUAGAAGAAGAAGAACAACAACAAGAAGAAGAAGAAUAAGAAUAAGAAUAAGAAUAAGAAGAAGAAGGAGAAGACUAGAAGAAGAAGAAGAAGAAGAAGAAGAAUAAGGAGAAGACUAGAAGAAGAAUAAGAAUAGGAAGAAGACGACGACGAAGAAGAAGAAGAAGAAUAAGAAUAAUAAGAAGA